rnacentral:rRNA from 1 species
CCUACGGGAGGCAGCAGUAGGGAAUUUUGCGCAAUGGGGGAAACCCUGACGCAGCAACGCCAUGUGUGGGAUGACGCAUUUCGGUGUGUAAACCACUGUCGGCAGGGAAUAUGUACCUGCAAAGGAAGCCCCGGCUAACUUCGUGCCAGCAGCCGCGGUAAUACGAGGGGGGCAAGUGUUGUUCGGAAUCACUGGGCGUAAAGGGAGCGUAGGCGGAUGUUUAAGUUGGAUGUUUAAAACCGGGGCCCAACCCCGGAGCGGCAUCCAAAACUGGGCAUCUUGAAUAGGUCAGAGGCUGGUGGAAUUGGAGGUGUAGCGGUGGAAUGCGUAGAGAUCUCCAAGAACACCUAUUGCGAAGGCAGCCAGCUGGCCAUAUUGACGCUGAGGCUCGAAAGCAUGGGGAGCAAACAGGAUUAGAUACCCUUGUAGUC